AACGUAGGAGGCGAGCGUUAUCCGGAUUUACUGGGUGUAAAGCGCGUGCAGGCGGUGGGACAAGUUAACUGUGAAAGCGCCCGGCUCAACCGGGCGAGGACAGUUAAGACUGUUUUGCUGGAGGCAGGUAGAGGUGUGUGGAAUUCCGGGUGUAGUGGUGAAAUGCGUAGAGAUCCGGAGGAACACCAGUGGCGAAGGCGACACACUGGGCCUGGCCUGACGCUCAGACGCGAAAGCAUGGGGAGCGAACGGGAUUAGAAACC
rnacentral:rRNA from 1 species